rnacentral:other from 1 species
GCCUCCCUGUUGUGUUUGUAGCCGAGUCUGAUUUUUGAGCCAACAUUUUUGAGAAGGGGUUGAGGAAUCGGCUGUGGUGAGCAAGCCUUCGAAGGAGGGAAGCCUAAAACAGUAUACCAAAGCCCCACCUAUUGUAAGAUAGGUUCAAAAAAUGAUUCGUCUACGGCAUUGACGGGGGGGUC